rnacentral:rRNA from 1 species
GUGAACGCUGGCGGUAGGCCUAACACAUGCAAUUCGCACGGCAGCACAGUAAGAGCUUGCUCUUACGGGUGGCGAGUGGCGGACGGGUGAGGAAUACAUCGGAAUCUACUUUUUCGUGGGGGAUAACGUAGGGAAACUUACGCUAAUACCGCAUACGACCUACGGGUGAAAGCAGGGGAUCUUCGGACCUUGCGCGAUUGAAUGAGCCGAUGUCGGAUUAGCUAGUUGGCGGGGUAAAGGCCCACCAAGGCGACGAUCCGUAGCUGGUCUGAGAGGAUGAUCAGCCACACUGGAACUGAGACACGGUCCAGACUCCUACGGGAGGCAGCAGUGGGGAAUAUUGGACAAUGGGCGCAAGCCUGAUCCAGCCAUACCGCGUGGGUGAAGAAGGCCUUCGGGUUGUAAAGCCCUUUUGUUGGGAAAGAAAAGCAGCAGGUUAAUACCCCGCUGUUCUGACGGUACCCAAAGAAUAAGCACCGGCUAACUUCGUG